GACGAACGCUGGCGGCGUGCUUAACACAUGCAAGUCGAACGGAAAGGCCCUGCUUUUGUGGGGUGCUCGAGUGGCGAACGGGUGAGUAACACGUGAGUAACCUGCCCUUGACUUUGGGAUAACUUCAGGAAACUGGGGCUAAUACCGGAUAGGAGCUCCUGCUGCAUGGUGGGGGUUGGAAAGUUUCGGCGGUUGGGGAUGGACUCGCGGCUUAUCAGCUUGUUGGUGGGGUAGUGGCUUACCAAGGCUUUGACGGGUAGCCGGCCUGAGAGGGUGACCGGCCACAUUGGGACUGAGAGACGGACCAGACUCCUACGGGAGGCAGCAGGGGGGAAUAUUGCAGAAUGGGCGGAAGCCUGAUGCAGCAACGCCGCGUGCGGGAUGACGGCCUUCGGGUUGUAAACCGCUUUCGCCUGUGACGAAGCGUGAGUGACGGUAAUGGGUAAAGAAGCACCGGCUAACUACGUG
rnacentral:rRNA from 1 species